CACACACACACACACACACACACACACACACACCCCGCCCUCUCUUCUGCCUUGCAGUCAAAUAUGUGAAUCCUUGGAUGACACAGAAAGGAUUUAUUUAACAGGAGACUGAACAUUUUGAACAUGGAAAUGUGAAUAUCUGUGAACACUGAAUAGGCUAGAUUAGUAAGAGCAGAGACUGGAAGAAAGGCCAGGUGGGUGUCUUCUCCUGUCUUUUCCUUCUAAUUAGCAUUCAGUCAGACUGUAUAGAGGACCUGCUACAUCCUGGGGAUGAUUCACACAUUGUCCCUGCCUCCCAGUUACUCCUCCUCUGAUGAGGGUUUGCAAACGAACUUUCUUCCAUCAUUUAUCCCCCAAAACAUGUAUCAAUUGAUAUCGUUACUUGCCAAACAUAAAAUAACAUAAGGACAUGAAUUCUAGAGGAAUUUUGUUUUGAGAAAUGAAAAUAUAGAUUUCAGAGGCCACUGGGAAAGGAAGAUUUACAGGACCAAAUAACUGACAAAAAUGUUAACUUGCCAGAGAAGAAAGACUCAAAAAUGUUCCAUUGACAUAAACCUAGAUAACUAGGAGAAUGAGAGUGCCUGUGUAGGGGAGUGAAAAUAAUUUUCUCCUCCACCCUUCAUAGGUUUCUAGCUAGGUCUCCCUGUUAGGGGCGUUCAAACCAGAGCGACUCCAUCUUCAGUGAGGGCUAGGAAAAAUGAGGCUGGGACCUGCUGGGCUGCAUUCCCAGAAAGUUAGGUAUUCUUAGCCUCUAGGUGUUUACCGUUAAGGGAACAGGUUGAUAAUGUUUACUAAACAGACCCAGACUUGGGAGUGUCCUGAUAUCCCAGUAUCUUGAGAACAGAAGCAUUCUUAAUUUUGCUUUAAAGAUAACAUCAAUUCUUGCAAAAUAAAGUAAUUAAGAAAAUUAACCCUUUAUCAUAAACCCUUGUAGCAGAGUACAUCUCCCCACAAUCUUUCUUUUUAUCCCAUAUGUAAACAGGAUUUAUCCUGUAUAUACCUAGGGAGGACGUGUUUCCCCUCCUACUUUCGAGAACGCCCUGCUCUGUCUAUGAGUAGCUAUUCUUUCACCACUUUACUUCCUUAAUAAACUUACUUUUGCUUUGCACUGUGGACUUGCCCUGAAUUCUUUCUUGUGGGAGAUCGAAGAACUCUCUCUUGGUGUCCGGAUCGGGACUCCUUUCCGGUAACAUCACUAUGUUGCCCAGGCUGGUCUUGAACUCCUGGCCUCAAACCAUCCUAUAGAUUCGACCUCCGAAAGUGCUGGGGUUACAGGCAUAGCCACUGUGCCCAGCUGGAACAAUCUUUAUGAAGGUGAAUUAAAGCUGUGAGGCAUGAGACCAGAAAAGAUGCACCAGGAGUAAUGGAUUUUGGUGGAGAAUGAGCCACAGAAACGCGAUCAUGAGGCAAAUGGUGGGGCCUAACCCUGCCUUCUCAGUCCUCGGGAUGGGAGACCGGGCUAGAGAAGAGAAGGCUGGUGUGAAAACGCCGGGAGGCCCUCAUCGAGCCUCAUUCUCAGCCACAUCGUAAGGAUUUAGAGGCCCUAAGCACUGACGACGCUGUGGUGCCACAAAAAUAGACAAGCAGGGCAUGUGCGCUGAAGCUGGAAGAGGCUUCUUCCAUAUUUUCAUUGCAAAAUCAGAACUUUGUUGGUAUUUGAGAUGUUAAGAAUGGAAACGCUGAUUCCCCUCAGACCCGCUUUGCAGAUAACCCUGCAUUUUACCGAGAUGUCAAAGCAGGAAGUGCUUGGCUGGAACAUCUGCCGACAGCCUCAUCUCUUUCUGCAAGAUCAUGAUGUUCUGCAUGCUCCUGUGGCCUCUUAUUUCACGUUGCUCUCCCUGCAAAUUUUGAAACAACUUUAAAGAUGAAUAAAAAGCAGCUCAGCAAGUGAAUCCCAGAUCCCGGGCCAAACUCCGACGCCCACGAGCUCGCUCAGAAUUGGCUCAGGCUGCAAUCACUUCUCUUCUCCUACCUCCACACCAUUCCCUGAUGGUGGACAGCUUCUCCUUUGAGAACCACACCUGCCUUUUCAGACAAAAGGAGACACCACCCACCCUCCUGCUGAGGGCUGCUCCCCUGGGGCCUUCUCAGCACACCUCUCUCUCUCUAGGUCAAAAAACAAAUUUCACAUGCUGAAUUUUUACCUUUUUUAAAGUGACUCCGAAUUUUGGCACCAGCAAUUAAUUCAACACUUGAAUAAGAUUUGAAAACCUCACAACAAAUCACAAAUAUAUUAUGGGUCCUGUU
rnacentral:lncRNA from 10 species